AAUGAACGCUGGCGGCAGGCCUAACACAUGCAAGUCGAACGAGUGGCGGACGGGUGAGUAAUGUCUGGGAAACUGCCUGAUGGAGGGGGAUAACUACUGGAAACGGUAGCUAAUACCGCAUACCAUCGGAUGUGCCCAGAUGGGAUGCGCUUGUAGGUGAGGUAACGGCUCACCGAGGCGACGAUCCCUAGCUGGUCUGAGAGGAUGACCAGCCACACUGGAACUGAGACACGGUCCAGACUCCUACGGGCGGCAGCAGUGGGGACUAUUGCACAAUGGGCGCAAGCCUGAUGCAGCCAUGCCGCGUGUAUUAAGAAGGCCUUCGGGUUGUAAAGUACUUUCAGCGGGGAGGCGUUACCAACAGAAUAAGCACCGGCUAACUUCGUGCCAGCAGCCGCGGUAAUAC
rnacentral:rRNA from 1 species